UACGGGGGGAGCAAGCGUUGUUCGGAUUUACUGGGCGUAAAGGGCGCGUAGGCGGUCGUGACAAGUCACUUGUGAAAUCUCCGGGCUUAACUCGGAACGGUCAAGUGAUACUGUCGGACUAGAUUACAGAAGGGGCAACUGGAAUUCUCGGUGUAGCGGUGAAAUGCGUAGAUAUCGAGAGGAACACCUGCGGCGAAGGCGGGUUGCUGGGCUGAUACUGACGCUGAGGCGCGAAAGCCAGGGGAGCGAACGGG
rnacentral:rRNA from 1 species